GGUGGCUCAGUGGUAGAGCACUUGCCUUGCAUGCAUGAGGCGCUGGGUUCAAUUCCUCAGCACCA
rnacentral:tRNA from 1 species